CCCGCUGAAGGCGUGUCCGUGCGGGGGCGGUGGGGCCGCGCAGCCAGGCCCGCCCAGCCCCGGCGGGAACGGGCACGAGCCGGGCCACGGAGAGUGGGGCUGAGGCCAUGGCGGCCAACGAGGACCAGGAGAUGGAGCUGGAGGCGCUGCGCUCCAUCUACGAGGGAGAUGUGUGCUUCAGGGAGCUCAGCCCCGUGUCCUUCCAGUACAGGAUAGGUGAAAGUGGUGAUCCCAAAGCCUUUCUAAUAGAAGUUUCUUGGCCAGAAACAUAUCCACAAACAGCACCAGUCAUAUCGAUGGAUGCUUUCUUCAACAACACGAUAUCUGCAGCUAUUAAGCAAAGUAUAUUGGAGAAGUUAAUGGUAGAAGUUGAAGCGAAUCUUGGAACUGCUAUGACAUACACACUUUUUGAAUAUGCCAAAGACAAUAAGGAUGUGUUCAUGGAAAAUCAGCCUGUUAACACUGUGACUUCAGUAAGCAAUAGUAUUGCAAUUGGAACUCCUGAUGUGCCUGCAAGUAAGAAAAAAGAGAAAAAGGAACAGUUAUCCAAAACCCAGAAACGAAAGCUAGCUGAUAAAACAGAUAACAAAGGGGAGCUUCCACGAGGAUGGAACUGGGUGGACGUAAUUAAGCAUACAUUAAUACUACUGAGAUAAUACUCCGGAAUGUGAAGACCACAGGCAUAUGGCCAAGUUACUUUCAGUUCAUCCUUGAGGGGAGAGAGCUACCUUCAAAUGGAACUUGGCUGCAAAGAUCAAUAACCAGUAAUUGACUGUUACUACAAACAAGGCAAAAAAUACAACUGUUAUUUGAGACAUUGUGGUUAUACAGACUUGUUCCAGGCAUGUUCAACAUAUACAGAUAUUAGAUGUUUAAACAUUGCCUUUCUUUAAGUUUAGGGCACGUAGCUGACAAGACAACAGGAAAAGCACAGUGUUGCCUUUGAAAACACGACUGAAAGCCUUAACAGGUGAUUCAGCCAAAAAGAGCACACAAAAUGUACUACUUUCUAUAAUUUGGGGGCUGGAUUCAGAACUAACAUAAUGAGCAUAAUGCUGAACAUUGCUAGAAUCAUCCAGUUACAAGCAAGUUGAACAUAAAGAGUUAGCCAAAGGACUCAUCUUUGCAACAUCUCGAUGGGCAGACUUUUUUAGACCAUGUCUCAGCCAAAUUAUAGCCAAAAAAAUGGAUUUUUUUUUAAUUAAUAAUUAAUUAUGAGAGCUCACAACUCCAAAAGUGAGCUCCCACUGGUUUCAGUGAGGCCAGGAUUUCAGCUCUGUGUUGCAACUGGAUACAUAUAUAUCUGCGCUGGGAAACUGGAGAUGACUGCCAUGGAAUUAUUCAAAAGAUUCAUAAACCAAGCCACUUCAAACAUUAAAACACAACAAAGACAACUCUGUAGGCAGAAUAAUUACUAGUCAUAAAUUGUGAGUGGUUUGGGGUUUUUUGUCUUGGAGGUGUUGUAUGCAGGAAUCUCAGUGCUGGAGUGGUUACAUUGUGAAACAGUAAAAUCAGAAUGCUAUGCUGUUAGAAUGGAAAAGAUAGAAAUCAUUGAAAUUGAGCUGAUGAAGGAUACAGAACUCUUUGUAUUUACAAACAAGGGAUUUGCCUCUCUUCUGGAUUCUCUAACACUCAUUUUUCAUAUACUAAAUACAAAUUUACUCAUAAAAUAAGUUUGGGGGGUUGUGCAUGCUUAUGGGCUUUUUUUUUUACAUUUCUGCAAAGCCUAAUUAAACAAGACAUUUGCUUAGAUAAUUAAUUACACAAAGCAGGCAAGGCAUUUUUUAAAUAUAUUUUUACUAGACUCUGUUAACUUAUUACCUUUUGAAAAAAGUAUGUGAAGAAACAGUCAGGUCACUACAUCGUCCCUUGCCAAAGUAAAGAGUACAGGAUUCUUGAGGAAUUCUACUGCUUGGCCUCUCUGAAAUUAGGUAAGAGUUUGUCUCUGGCACUGACUGCAUCAUCCACAAAGUUUUAUGUAUAGAAAAAAAUCAUAUGUUUGUGUUCCAUAAAACUAACUGCUAAAUACUUUUAAUUAGAAUGAUUGGUCAGUCAACCAUCUUAAUUUCUUUUAUUUUCUUGAGUCACAAUAGUUGUUAGCAUAAUGGUAAUUCUCUUAAAAUCCAUCAGAUACUUGAGGAAGUCUCUAAAUAAAGUUACCAUCUGAAAA